rnacentral:rRNA from 1 species
CCUACGGGUGGCAGCAGUGAGGAAUAUUGGUCAAUGGGGGAAACCCUGAUGCAGCGACGCAGCGUGGGUGAAGAAGCGCCUCGGCGCGUAAAGCCCUGUCAGCAGGGAAGAAAAUGACGGUACCUGAAGAAGAAGCCCCGGCUAACUACGUGACAGCAGCCGCGGUAAUACGUAGGGGGCAAGCGUUAUCCGGAUUUACUGGGUGUAAAGGGGGCGCAGACGGCGAUGCAAGCCAGGAGUGAAAGCCCGGGGCCCAACCCCGGGACUGCUCGUGGAACUGCGUGGCUAGAGUGCAGGAGGGGCAGGCGGAAUUCCUGGCGUAGCGGUGAAAUGCGUAGAUAUCAGGAGGAACACCGGUGGCGAAGGCGGCCUGCUGGACUGCAACUGACGCUGAGGCCCGAAAGCGUGGGGAGCAAACAGGAUUAGAUACCCCUGUAGUC